GCCCGAUUUAUCGGGCAGUGGCGAACGGGUGAGUAACACGUAAGAACCAACCCUCAAGUGGGGGAUAACCCCGAGAAAUCGGGGCUAAUACCGCAUAAGCUCCCCGAUUAUAUCGGGGAGGAAAGCUGAGGCGCUUGAGGACGGGCUUGCGUCCGAUUAGCUAGUUGGUGUGGUAAUGGCUCACCAAGGCUGAGAUCGGUAGCUGGUCUGAGAGGAUGAUCAGCCACACUGGGACUGAGAUACGGCCCAGACUCCUACGGGAGGCAGCAGCAGGGGAUAUUGCGCAAUGGGUGAAAGCCUGACGCAGCAACGCCGCGUGGGGGAAGAAGGUUUUCGGAUCGUAAACCCCUUUUCUCGGGGAAGAUGGUGACGGUACCCGAGGAAUGAGUCUCGGCUAACUACGUGCAGCAGCCGCGGUAAGACGUAGGAGGCGAGCGUUAUCCGGAAUUAUUGGGCGCAAAGGGCGUGUAGGCGGCUCUUCAAGUCUUUGGUGAAAUCUCCCGGCUCAACUGGGAGGGUGUCAGAGAAACUGGAGGGCUUGAGGGCAGUAGAGGGGGGUGGAAUUCCCGGUGUAGUGGUGAUAUGCGUAGAUAUCGGGAGGAACACCAGUGGCGAAGGCGGCCCCCUGGGCUGUUCCUGACGCUGAGGCGCGAAAGCGUGGGGAGCAAACAGAAUUAGAUACCCUGGUAGUCCACGCCGCAAACGAUGGACACUAGGUA
rnacentral:rRNA from 1 species